rnacentral:rRNA from 1 species
GACGAACGCUGGUGGCGUGCCUAAUACAUGCAAGUCGAGCGAGACUCUUCGGAGUCUAGCGGCGGACGGGUGAGUAACACGUGGGCAACCUACCUGUAAGACUGGGAUAACACCGGGAAACCGGUGCUAAUACCGGAUAAUCCUUUUCCUCUCAUGAGGAAAAGCUGAAAGUCGGUUUCGGCUGACACUUACAGAUGGGCCCGCGGCGCAUUAGCUAGUUGGUGAGGUAACGGCUCACCAAGGCGACGAUGCGUAGCCGACCUGAGAGGGUGAUCGGCCACACUGGGACUGAGACACGGCCCAGACUCCUACGGGAGGCAGCAGUAGGGAAUCUUCCACAAUGGACGAAAGUCUGAUGGAGCAACGCCGCGUGAGCGAUGAAGGCCUUCGGGUCGUAAAGCUCUGUUGUUAGGGAAGAACAAGUACCGGAGUAACUGCCGGUACCUUGACGGUACCUAACCAGAGAGCCACGGCUAACUACGUGCCAGCAGCCGCCGUAACAC